GACGAACGCUGGCGGCGUGCCUAACACAUGCAAGUCGAGCGAGGAGAUUCCCUUCAGGGAUGAACCUAGCGGCGGACGGGUGAGUAACACGUGGGCAACCUGCCUUAUAGAGGGGAAUAGCCUUUCGAAAGGAAGAUUAAUACCGCAUAAGAUUGCAUUUUCGCAUGAAGAAGCAAUUAAAGGAGCAAUCCGCUAUAAGAUGGGCCCGCGGCGCAUUAGCUAGUUGGUGAGGUAACGGCUCACCAAGGCGACGAUGCGUAGCCGACCUGAGAGGGCGAUCGGACACAUUGGGACUGAGACACGGCCCAGACUCCUACGGGAGGCAGCAGUGGGGAAUAUUGCACAAUGGAGGAAACUCUGAUGCAGCAACGCCGCGUGAGUGAUGAAGGUUUUCGGAUCGUAAAGCUCUGUCUUCAGGGACGAUAAUGACGGUACCUGAGGAGGAAGCCACGGCUAACUACGUGCCAGCCGCCGCAGUAACAC
rnacentral:rRNA from 1 species